rnacentral:rRNA from 1 species
UACGUAGGGGGCAAGCGUUGUCCGGAUUUACUGGGCGUAAAGAGCGCGCAGGCGGUCGUUCAAGUCGAGUGUGAAAGCCCCCGGCUCAACUGGGGAGGGUCAUUCGAUACUGAUCGACUCGAAGGCAGGAGAGGGAAGUGGAAUUCCCGGUGUAGUGGUGAAAUGCGUAGAUAUCGGGAGGAACACCAGUGGCGAAGGCAACCACCUGGGCCUGUACUGACGCUGAGGUACGAAAGCGUGGGGAGCAAACAGG